rnacentral:rRNA from 1 species
AUGGGAAUUAACAGCCUAACAGGAGAAAUUCCAGAAAAUAUUGGCCAUACCCUUCAAAGCAUCCAGACAUUCAUUGUUCAAGGAAACAGAUUUGGAGGUAUUAUUCCCACUUCAAUGGCCAAGGCCAGAAAUCUUCAGAGCAUUAAUCUUUGUGACAAUGCAUUCCAUGGUAUUGUUCCUUAUUUUGGGUCUUUGCCCAACUUAACCGAACUAAAUCUAGGCAAGAACCAACUCGAAGCUGGCGACUGGACUUUCCUCCACUCGCUCACCAGUUGUACAAAGCUAGUAAGUUUACGUUUAGAUGAAAAUAACCUACAAGGUGAACUGCCAAAGUCCAUAGGCGAUCUUCCAAAAAGCUUAGAAUCUCUGAUCUUGACAGCAAAUAAAAUAUCUGGUACCAUACCACACGAGAUAGGGAACCUUAGUAGCCUCAAACUUCUUUACAUAGAGCACAAUUUGCUUACUGGAACCCUUCCGUACUCACUUGGAAACCUUUCCAACAUGUUCGUUCUAAGAUUAUCAGGAAACAAGCUAUCUGGCCAAAUCCCACUUUCAAUUCGUAAACUUGGUCAACUAAGUGAGCUCUAUUUGCAGCAAAAUAAUUUGAGCGGGCCCAUCCCAGUAGCUUUAGCACAGUGCAAUAAGUUACACACCCUAAACCUCUCUUGCAACUCAUUUGAUGGAACAAUACCAAAAGAACUGUUCACUAUUUCCACACUUGCUGAAGGUCUUGAUCUGUCUCACAACAAACUCUCUGGACAUAUACCAGUGGAGAUUGGCAAAUUAAUCAACCUUUCCCCCCUCGAUAUUUCCAACAACCUGUUGACUGGAGAAAUUCCCUCAACUUUGGGCGACUGCCUCCAUUUAGAAUCCCUCCACCUGGAAGGUAAUCUACUUGAUGGGCGAAUCCCUCAAUCUUUCGCUGCACUGAAAGGCAUCAGUGACAUGGACCUUUCUCGAAACAACUUGUCUGGUCAAGUUCCAGACUUCUUUGAGGCUUUCAGCUCCCUGUCACUUCUCAAUUUGUCAUUCAACAACCUGGAGGGACCCAUGCCAACUGGUGGGAUCUUCCAAAAUGCAAGCAAGGUGUUUGUCCAAGGGAACAAAGAGUUGUGUGCUGUCUCCCCACUAUUGAGAUUGCCACUUUGCCAUACAGCUGCAUCUCAACAAAGGCACAGAUUCCACAUUCUGAAGAUAAUGGGAUUAUCUGCUCUUGUCUUAGUCAUGUUAUCAUGUAUUGGACUCAUUUUUUUAAAGAAGGGAAAGAAAGCGAAGCAAGAAGAUCAUCCAUCCGUCGAGGAGUUAAAGAAAUUCACAUAUGCUGAUUUAGUGAAAGCAACAAAUGGUUUCUCUUUAGCCAACUUGGUUGGUUCAGGAAAGUAUGGGUCCGUAUACAAAGGUAGAAUUGAGUCUGAAGAACAUGCAGUUGCGAUCAAAGUUUUCAAACUUGAUCAGCCUGGAGCAACGAAAAGCUUCGUUGCUGAAUGCCAGGCACUCAGAAGUACUCGUCAUCGUAAUCUUGUAAGGGUGAUCACAGUAUGCUCGACAAGUGACCUGACAGGAAAUGAGUUCAAAGCUCUUCUCCUUGAAUAUAUGGUUAACGGCAACCUUGAAAGUUGGCUCCAUCCAACACUCCACGAGCAUCAUCUGAAAAGGCCCUUGUCUUUGGGUUCAAGAAUAGCAAUAGCAGUAGACAUAGCAGCUGCUUUGGAUUACCUGCAUAACCAUUGCAUGCCUCCUAUGACACACUGUGAUCUGAAGCCAAGCACCUGUGUUCUGGAUGAUGUCAUGGGCGCAUGUGUUGGUGACUUCGGGUUGACUAAGUUUGUACACAGUUAUACUUCUUCUAGGAUUGAUGGUUCUACGAGCUUAGUGGGACCAAGAGGAUCAGUUGGAUACAUUGCACCAGAAUAUGGCUUUGGGAGCAAAAUCUCUACCGAGGGUGAUAUUUACAGCUUUGGAGUCAUCGUCUUAGAAAUGCUCACAGGGAAGCGUCCAACUGAUGAGAUGUUUAAAGAUGGCCUGAGCCUUUACAAUUUUGUUGAAAAAUCAUUUCCUGAAAAGAUUGGCGAGAUUCUAGAUCCGAGAAUCAUUCCCUAUUAUGCGGACCAAGACGGAGAAGCAGGCAGGGCUGUAGAUCAAGAAAAUCAUCAUCAAAUGGCUGGAAUGAGCUGCAUCAUCAAGCUCGUUAAGAUUGGCCUCAUGUGCGCUGCAGAGACACCCAAAUAUCGUCCCUCAAUGCAGGAUGUUUACGUUGAGGUCACCGCAAUCAAAGAUGCAUUUUCAGCACUGCAGGGUUGA